rnacentral:rRNA from 1 species
GAAUAUUGGUCAAUGGACGAAAGUCUGAACCAGCCAUGCCGCGUGCAGGAUGAAGGCUCUAUGGGUUGUAAACUGCUUUUUUAUGGGAAGAAAUCCCUGAACGUGUUCGGGGCUGACGGUACCAUAAGAAUAAGCACCGGCUAACUCCGUGCCAGCAGCCGCGGUAAUACGGAGGGUGCAAGCGUUAUCCGGAUUCAUUGGGUUUAAAGGGUGCGUAGGCGGAUUAAUAAGUCAGUGGUGAAAUCCUGCAGCUUGACUGUAGAAGUGCCAUUGAUACUGUUAGUCUUGAGUUUGGUUGAGGUAAGCGGAAUGUGGCAUGUAGCGGUGAAAUGCAUAGAUAUGCCACAGAACACCGAUUGCGAAGGCAGCUUGCUAAGCCAAUACUGACGCUGAGGCACGAAAGCGUGGGGAGCAAACAGG